GACGAACCGUGCGAACGUUGUUCGGAAUCCCUGGGUUUAAAGGGCGCGUAGGCUGGCUGUCAAGUCAAGGGUGAAAUCCUGCGGCUCAACCGUAGAAGAGCCCCUGAUACUGACGGUCUGGAGGGAGGUAGGGGCGUGUGGAACUUCCGGUGGAGCGGUGAAAUGCGUAGAGAUCGGAAGGAACGCCGGUGGCGAAAGCGGCACGCUGGACCUCUACUGACGCUGAGGCGCGAAAGCCAGGGGAGCAAACGGG
rnacentral:rRNA from 1 species